AGAAUUAUAGUCAAAUAUGAUUUAUGAUUUGCAUUCAUAAGGUGUUUAAAAACUAAUUUU
rnacentral:tRNA from 1 species